GUCACUUCUUCCAGGAAGGGUUGGUUCUUUCAAAGAAACUGUUGCAAACCUGAGGCGUCCUUCGGGAUUCCAAGAACACAUGUGGCAUCGCAGGCCCCCGGGGGCAGAGGCUGGAGAGAUCUUGGGGCAAUGAUGUGACCUGGUGUGUGUGACAGCCACCCACCAGGAAGGUUGGCCAGCUCUGGGUCUUCAAAGACCCUCUUCUCCACCCAGACACUUGUGUGCCGGGGCGCUCGUACAGCUAGCAUUGAUUCGGUGCACAGGGAUCCAGAACAGCCACUGCAUGGGGCAGUAGCAACGGACCACAAGCUCUAUAGGCCCAGGGAAGAACUCCAGCAAGGAUGGCACAGGAUGUGUGACUCUGGAAGGUUCUGGAGGGACUCAGAGCAGAGCCCAGAGAACAGAAGAGAGACGCCAACAAGACUCCAUGGGAAUGAAAAGGAUGCCCUAGAAGCAGUUAUCAAGCAGCAGCCCUCGGCCCAGGGGGCCACUGCUCACUGGACGUGUCAGGGCCAAACCCAGUCAAGUGGGCCGUGAGUGUGAACUACACACCCGAUUGCAAAGGCUCCGCCAGGGCAAAAUCUCUUAUGGAUCCUUUUUUUUCGGCUGCGCCCACAGCAUCUGGAAGUUCCCGGGCCAGUGAUCGAACCGGUGCCACAGAUGCAACCUGCGCCAAAUCCUUAACCUGCUGUGCCACGGGGGAACUUCCUCAUCGAUUAUUUUCAUAGUGAUUCCAGGUUGAAAUCGUUACGUUUCAAUAUAGCGGAUAAAUAAAAUAUAUUCUUGAAAUGAAUUUCGCAUCUUUCUUUUUACCUUUUAAGUUGCGGGUGUCAGAACAUUGAUUUGGGGGCGUGUGUUCCGUUUCUAGGGGGCAGCACUGGAGGGACAAAUACUGCAGAGGAAACUGUGUCAUCUCUGAUGAGGACAAGCGACAGUCCAAGGGCAGGCGGAGCCUCGGGGGCAGGCAGGACGGGAAGGAAGCAGAGGACCUUCCGAGGCCGGUUCCCGUGCAGACAGCUCUCGGGCACAAGCAAAGGGGAUACAGCCUGCUCCUUCCGCAGGUGAAGCCUCCUGUGAGGAUACCACCGUUACCUCAGGUGCAUAUGCUCUUCAGAAGAUUCUGGAGACUGUGCUUCUGAGGCGUGAAGUGGUAAACGGAAAAGACAAGGAAACCCAGACAGAGGAGCCACCGCCCCAGGCUGGGGUAUCUCAGGAGAGCCGUCAUCUGGGUUUCAAGAUCGAACCUGGACGUUUCCAAGCAGAAGGGUGCAGGGCUGGAGGGGUGGUCUCUACAUGGAGAAGACAGACAUCAGUGUGGUCUCUACAUGGAGAAGACAGACUUCAGUGACUUAGUGUGUCUGAGCGUUGUGGGGAAGUGUCAGGAGACGCUGGAAAGCAUUUGGAAAAACGUGGCAUACAUCCCUAGAUCACUGAGCAAUGGCAUGAGACAGGUGUCAUUCCAGAAACUAUUCAGAGUUGAACAAGAAAGGAAAUGCAAUCACAGCUUGCCACUCACACGAGCAGAGAACAGAGGAGGCCAAAAUAAAAAAGACUAUAUAAACAAAAAUCAUAAUAUCUAAGUUGGGGGGCUGUGGGGAGUUGAACUGGGGUAAUGAGAGCAGGCAACUCCUCAGGCGCCCUAACGGAAGUUGAUGAAAUGACCGGAAAUGAACAAAUCAAGAAAUAAGAGCGCGUGCACGUUAUUUAGAAACAGGCGCAGAAAUUCUACAAGAAUUAGGACAAGGAGGUUCUGCACCAGCUGAGCUUUCUGGUGCGCCGUGAAAUUGCACCAGAAUUUGAGUCUUUAUGGCAUGUUUCUCCUCAUACGAGAUCAAGAAGAACCCGUCUGGAUCUGAAAAUACACACAGAGACGACGAGGACACACAAGGGGACCUCUUUUCUUCCCGACGCUUUCGUCAACUCAAGAAAACUUGUUCGUCAAGGCAGCCGUUGCUCUACUGACUUGCAUCAUGCCUGCCCCCAGCCACAUUCUUCAGAGACAGCGUCUCGCAUCUGGGAUUUCACAAGCGACAGUGGGGGAGGUGGGUGGGAGCCGAGCGCGGUCCUUGCUCCUGCAUUCUCGGGAUGGAAUGAGACAGAGCCUGUUUGGCGCUGAAGACAGAGCUCUGGGUAUGUCUGUGCCCAUUUCGGUGGGGAAGUGGGGAAUGUUGGGGGGCUGCUCCUUGCCAGACUCGGGGGCAGAGGCGCAUCCACAGAGUGACGGCACGAGGCCAGGCUGGUCUCCUUCCCCCUCCUCCAGGAGCAUGGGACACAGGUGUCUCCUUCUGGGCAGAAGAAGUCACUGAAACUUGCCUUCUUACUCAGCACUGUUUUUUUCUCCUGGAGCGUCAAAAUCAUUGCUUAAUUUCUACUGUGGGCAAUGAAAGCCACGAUGUGAGCAAAACUUAGUGAAAAAUUAAUCCAGGGGGAGUACCUGCCUCUUUUUUACCUCCUCACCAUCAAAGCAGAGCUGGUUUGAAAACAACCCAAGCAAAUGUGACUUUGGGGGAGGGGCGCUUGGGGUCCGGGAGCCCAGCUGCUUGGCCCCUCUUGACAGAUAUCCUGUCCCCAAGCUUCAGGUCUCGGAUCUGAGUCCAAGGAGGAGAGAUGGGAAAGGGAACGCUCCUCCCCAUACAAAUGUGGGUUUUUCUGAGCCACGCUCAGCUCCGGCAGGUGCUGUGAAGGCAUCCCGCAGGACCCCCCACACGUGACCCACAUCCGCGGAGGAGAGCUUGUUCCUAGGAGGCCGCCCACACGCUGCUGUCCAGCAGACAUUGACAGAACACUGUAACUCACCUACAAGUAAAAAUAAUUGAAAGAAAGUGUGAUCGUGCCACAGGAAAGCCUACCUUGUCGUCUAGACUUCUUUGGCCCUUGACAGACACCUCCUAGAAGUUCUUUAUUUUUCUCUUGCUUUCUUAAAGCAAGAUUUUGAAGCAGCUCUCACGCAACCCAGCUUGGGUCUGCUCUGCGGUGCGUAGUAAAGCUAAUCUCCUGAUACAGGGCUGUGGUGCAGGGACGUGCAGCGGUUACGGUGGGCGUCCAGCAAGGCGUCCAGGUGGUAAUGCUCCCAAGGCCCCGACUCCCCAGCGGGUUCCAGGAGAGCAUGUUUGGAGGCCAGGUAAGGGAGGGGGUCCCAGGUGUGUGAACAGCUUGUGCACAGUUCUCUGGCUGGCUGAUGGCAAGGUAACACGCACUGUCACAGGGGUUUGUGUCAUCAGUCCUUAGGCUGCAGCAGGCCUGGGGGCUACAAGCUCCUGGGCAUCGAGCAGAUAACAGCCUCCACUGGGUGGGAGUUUUAGCAUCUGUAAAACAGCUCAGGAAGCUGCAUCAGAUACGGUUAUCUGGGCUUUAGAGAGGAGCUGAAGCAGAGGACACGGGGGGAGGGGGCUGGCCCAGGGAACGUCCCAGAAGGUCCUGCUCGGUGACACCAACAUCUGUUUCCAGAGAAACUUUGUCUUCCACCUUCUUCCCUGCCCCACAGGGAAAGUACUUUUCUAAUGUAGAUUUCUUGCCUAAAUAAGAGACUGAAGACUCAGUCACUGAAAUCAGGGUGUUCCAUGACUGCUGGGGCUCAUGGUACAUCUCAUCAAGAACCCAAAGAGUUGGUGCACAAAGACAGGCA